GUAGGUGGCAAGCGUUGUCCGGAAUUAUUGGGCGUAAAGCGCGCGCAGGUGGUUCUUUAAGUCUGAUGCGAAAGCCCCCGGGCUCAACCGGGGAGGGUCAUUGGAAACUGGGGAACUUGAGUGCAGGAGAGGAAAGUGGAAUUCCACGUGUAGCGGUGAAAUGCGUAGAUAUGUGGAGGAACACCAGUGGCGAAGGCGACCUUCUGGCCUGUAACUGACACUGAGGCGCGAAAGCGUGGGGAGCAAACAGGAUUAGAUACCCUGGUAGUCCACGCCGUAAACGAUGAGUGCUAAGUGUUGGGGGGUUUCCGCCCCUCAGUGCUGCAGCUAACGCAUUAAGCACUCCGCCUGGGGAGUACGGUCGCAAAGACUG
rnacentral:rRNA from 1 species